rnacentral:rRNA from 1 species
AUUGAACGCUGGCGGCAGGCCUAACACAUGCAAGUCGAGCGCGAAAGUUCUUCGGAAUGAGUAAAGCGGCGGACGGGUGAGUAAUGCAUGGGAAUCUGCCUGGUAGUGGGGGACAACGUUUCGAAAGGAACGCUAAUACCGCAUACGCCCUACGGGGGAAAGGGGGGGAGUCUUCGGACCUCUCGCUAUCAGAUGAGCCCAUGUCAGAUUAGCUAGUUGGUGGGGUAAAGGCUCACCAAGGCGACGAUCUGUAACUGGUCUGAGAGGAUGAUCAGUCACACUGGAACUGAGACACGGUCCAGACUCCUACGGGAGGCAGCAGUGGGGAAUAUUGGACAAUGGGCGAAAGCCUGAUCCAGCCAUGCCGCGUGUGUGAAGAAGGCCUUGGUGUAAGCACUUCUAGUGGGGAGGAAAGGUUAAGUUCUACC